UUGCCCUACGGGGCGCAGCAGUGAGGAAUAUUGGUCAAUGGGCGCGAGCCUGAACCAGCCAAGUCGCGUGAGGGAGGACGGCCCUACGGGUUGUAAACCUCUUUUGCCGGGGAGCAACGGGCGUCACGUGUGGCGCCACUGAGAGUACCCGGAGAAAAAGCAUCGGCUAACUCCGUGCCAGCAGCCGCGGUAAUACGGAGGAUGCGAGCGUUAUCCGGAUUUAUUGGGUUUAAAGGGAGCGUAGGUGGAUUGUUAAGUCAGUUGUGAAAGUUUGCGGCGCAACCGUACAAUUGCAGUU
rnacentral:rRNA from 1 species